rnacentral:lncRNA from 1 species
AGUAACAGUGACACUCCAAGACCAAGAGAGAGGCCGCCCUGGUGGGGUUCCGCUUGCUCACUCGCGCGUGGUGCAGUCUGGGGCACAUUAUUUAUUUAAGCCAUGUGAACUCCAGCUGCCAACCUAAAAUGAGGAUGAUGCUACUAUCUACUUCAUGGAUUAUUCUGAGGACAAAAGGAGCUAACCCACGUACAAUGCACGGCUCUCCACCCAGGACUAAGAAAGGUUCACUGCAGUGGCUUCUGUUUUUGAUGCUGUAUCAGUAAGUCAUCAGUUUAAUGAAAUGAGCAACACCUGAUCCCUCUGUCUGAGACACAUGGAUGAGAUUCCUGAGAAGGAAGCUGGGCGGUUGUUUCUUGGUUUGGAGCAGAGGAGGAAGUGUUACAUAUGGUGUUGAGAUGCUGGCACUGGAUCUCACCCUUCCUCUGUAUGACUGUCCUUCAUGUGAUAGGACCACACUUGUCACCGUCCUACCUACAUCCCAGCGCCAGUCUCCACCUCAUCCAGAGGCGGUUAAUAAAUGCUCCCUCAAUGGAAAAAAAAAAAAAAAAAAAA